AUGACGUGCCCCCAGCUGCCGCCACUUCUGCUUUUGGUGCUGGUGCUGCCACUAAAAGCCGAUGCGAGUAACACUAGCAGUACUCCCUACACAGGUACGACCUCAGAGAACAGUAUGGAGACAUCAUCUCUCAGCUCUCUGACUUCUUCUCCCUUCACCCCCAACACCCUCAGUUCGGGGGAACCCCCCAAAACCUACUCCAGCCCCCUGAGUUUGGAGACAGGCUCCAUGACCCACCUCAGCCCCUCAAGUUCAGGGGCAACCCCUCCCAUCCAGCCCAGCCCCGGUUCCACAGAGUCAAGGAUGAUUCCCUCCUCCCCACAACCAGAGACAACCACGCACCCUAGUUCCGGUUCCCCCAAUGCAGAGCUCACCCCCUCUUCCCAUUCCACCCUCCCCAGUUCCGAAUCCCUGACCCCGCACUGGAGCCCCACUUCCCACAGCCCCGGAACAGAGCCCUUGACCUCCACUGACCAGACCUUGGAGCCCCCUGGCCCAGCUCCAGGUGACACUGGGCCCCCUGAGUUACACAGGAACCCGGGUGUGGUGGUGGUCGUGUGUUUGCUGGUGUCUCUUUUGCUCAUCGGGUCUGUGGUCACGGCUGUGAGGUUCUGUCACCGGGAUGAGUCCACAUUCGAGAAGCUGGACGAGGUGUCCAUGGUAAGGUAGGGGCUGGGCUGGGGGCUCAGCCCUGGGGCCAAGGUAGGGUUGGGGGAGCUGCCCUCCCAAGCAGGACCAGCCUGGGCUGUAGAGCCCAUUGGUGUCUGAAUGCCUCCCUGUGUGUUCCUUCCUCAGGGAUCCAUGAAUGACAGAUUGUCCUUUGCCCACCACCUCCAGGAGUGAGCCCUGAGGAGCCAACAGAGAUGUGGGCGUGGAUGGGGCUGGGGUGCCUGGGGAGGAGCAGAACCUGAGGAAAUAAACCCCCUACCAUUCAUCCAAGGCCUCCUGAGUUAUGGAUUCGUGUGACAAACAUUAGCUGAGCACCUACUAUGUGCUGGGCUCUGUGCUGGAGUCACAGUGGGGACCAUGUCUUUACUCUCAGGGGAGCCACAGACUCAAGGCAGGGACAGAUAAGAAUCAGGAGAUCACUUGGCUGAGCGUGGUGGUUCACACCUGUAUGCCAGCACUUUGGGAGGCUGAGGCAGGCAGAUCUCCUGACCUCAGGAGUUUGAGACUAGCCUGGCUAACAUGGUGAAACUCUGUCUCUACUAAAAAUACAAAAAUUAGCUGAGUAUGGUGGUAGGUGCCUGUAAUCCCAGCUACUCAGGAGGCUGAGGCAGAGAAUCGCUUCAACCCCAGGAGGCAGAGGUUGCAGUGAGCUGAGAUCACCCCACUGCACUCCAGCCUGGGCAACAGAGCAAGACUCCAUCUAAAAAAAUAAAAAGAAGAAGAAUCAGGAGAUCACAUGAGAUCUUUGCAGGUGGCACAGAAGGCCAUGGAGUCACAGACUGAGACUGUGGCCAAACCACAAGGGCUGCGGUGGCCAAACCACAAGGGUUGUGGUGUCCAGGUUUGCUGAGAAGGUAGGGAGGCCUCUUUGAGGAGGUAACUUUUUUUUUUCUUCGAGAUAGGAUCUUGCUCUGUUGCCCAGGUUGGAGUGCAAUGGUGCAAUCUCGGCUUACUGCAGCCUCAACCUCCCAGGCUCAAGUGAUCCUCCUGCCUCAGCCUCCUGAGUAGCUGGGACUACAGGGGGACAGUAUGCCUGGCUAAUUAAAAAAAAAAAAAAAAAUUGGGGCCAGGUGUGGGGUGGCUUAUGCCUGUAAUCCUGGUACUUUGGAAGGCCAGGUAGGUGGAUCAUUUGAGGUCAGGAGUUCAAGACCAGCCUGGCCAACAUGGUGAAACCCCAUCUUUACUAAAAAUACAAAAAUUGCCUGGUGUGGUGGUGGGCGCCUGUAAUCCCAGCUACUAGGGAGGAUGAGGCAGGAGAAUUGCUUGAGCCUGGGAGGCAGAGGUUGCGGUGAGCCGAGAUUGCACUGCUGCACUCCAGUCGAGGCAACAGAGUAAGACUCUGUCUCAAAACAAACAAACAAAACUUGGAAGCUGGGCAUGGUGGCUUACCACUGUAAUCCCAGUACUUUGAGAAGCUGAGGUGGGCAAAUUGCUUGACCUUGGUAGUUUGAGAUCAGAUGGGGCAAUGUGGCAGAACUCCAUCUCUUUCUCUUUUUUUCUUUCUUUCUUUCUUUUUUUUUUGAGAUGGAGUCUCGCUGUCGCACCCAGGCUGGGAGUGCAAUGGCGCAAUCUCGGCUCACUGCAAGCUCCGCCUCCUGGGUUCACGCCAUUUUCCUGCCUCAGCCUCCCAAGAAGCUGGGACUACAGGUGCCUGUCACCACAUUCAGC
ensembl:lincRNA